UUUGAGUUGGUGAACCAUGGAAUUCCACAUGAAGUAAUGGACACAGUAGAGAAAAUGACAAAGGGACAUUACAAGAAGUGCAUGGAACAGAGGUUUAAGGAACUAGUGACAAGUAAGGGACUUGAGGCUGUUCAAGCUGAGGUUACUGAUUUAGAUUGGGAAAGCACUUUCUUCUUGCGCCAUCUUCCAACUUCUAAUAUCUCUCAAGUACCCGAUCUUGACGAAGAAUACAGAGAGGUGAUGAGAGAUUUUGCUAAAAGAUUGGAGAAAUUGGCUGAGGAGUUACUUGACUUACUCUGUGAAAAUCUUGGACUUGAAAAAGGUUACUUGAAAAAUGCCUUUUAUGGAUCAAAAGGUCCCAACUUUGGUACUAAAGUUAGCAACUAUCCACCAUGUCCUAAGCCCGAUUUGAUCAAGGGACUCCGCGCUCAUACAGACGCUGGAGGCAUCAUACUUCUGUUCCAAGAUGACAAAGUGAGUGGCCUUCAACUCCUCAAAGACGAGCAAUGGAUCGAUGUUCCUCCCAUGCGCCACUCUAUUGUGGUUAACCUUGGUGACCAACUUGAGGUGAUCACUAACGGGAAGUACAAGAGUGUGCUGCACAGAGUAAUUGCACAAACAGACGGGACACGAAUGUCAUUAGCCUCAUUUUACAAUCCAGGAAGUGAUGCAGUAAUAUAUCCAGCAAAAACUUUGGUUGAAAAAGAGGCAGAGGAAAGUACACAAGUGUAUCCAAAGUUUGUGUUUGAUGAUUACAUGAAGUUAUAUGCUGGACUCAAGUUUCAAGCCAAAGAGCCAAGAUUUGAAGCAAUGAAGGCAAUGGAAAGUGAUCCAAUUGCAAGUGCUUAGAUCCCAAUUCAAUUAAAAAAAUUGGUGUUUGAAAAAUAUAUUUAAAUAUAGCAAUCUAUGUAUACACAUUAUUUGCUCUUCUUAUGUAUGGUAGAAUAAAGUUAGUAUUAAAAAAGAUUGUGAUUUGCUGCAUAUGUAUCAAAAAGAGUCCUAAUAUUUGUAUCUAUAAAUAAGGUGCCUUUUAGUGAAAUUAUACAAAUAAUAAUUUGGAGUGUAUUGUUCUUUCUCAUGUAAUUUUACUUUUAAG
rnacentral:misc_RNA from 1 species